AAUGACAUAUAUCGUUUAAAUAUAAAAUUUUUUUUAAAAAUUUUACUAUAUUUAUAUUUAUAUGUAAAUA
rnacentral:tRNA from 1 species